AUACGGAGGACGCGAGCGUUAUCCGGAUUCAUUGGGUUUAAAGGGUGCGCAGGCGGCCGUGCAAGUCAGCGGUGAAAGCCCGGGGCUCAACCCCGGAAGUGCCGUUGAUACUGCAUGGCUGGAAUGCGGUCGAGGCGGGCGGAACGGGGCGUGUAGCGGUGAAAUGCGUAGAUAUGCCACAGAACGCCGAUAGCGGAGGCAGCUCGCCAGGCCUGCAUGGACGCUCGGGCACGAAAGCGGGGGGAUCGAACAGGAUUAGAUGCCCUGGUAGUCCACGCCGUAAACGAUGGGCGCUCGUCGUCGGCGGCAGACAGUCGGCGGCCAAGCGAAAGCGAUAAGCGCCCCACCUGGGGAGUACGGCCGCAAGGCUAAAACUCAAAUGAAUUGACGGGG
rnacentral:rRNA from 1 species